rnacentral:rRNA from 1 species
UGCAGUCGACGGAAGGNCCUUCGGGGUACUCGAGUGGCGAACGGGUGAGUAACACGUGGGUGAUCUGCCCUGCACUUUGGGAUAAGCCUGGGAAACUGGGUCUAAUACCGAAUAGGACCACGCGCUUCAUGGUGUGUGGUGGAAAGCUUUUGCGGUGUGGGAUGGGCCCGCGGCCUAUCAGCUUGUUGGUGGGGUAAUGGCCUACCAAGGCGACGACGGGUAGCCGGCCUGAGAGGGUGACCGGCCACACUGGGACUGAGAUACGGCCCAGACUCCUACGGGAGGCAGCAGUGGGGAAUAUUGCACAAUGGGCGCAAGCCUGAUGCAGCGACGCCGCGUGAGGGAUGACGGCCUUCGGGUUGUAAACCUCUUUCAAUAGGGACGAAGCGNANGUGACGGUACCUAUAGAAGAAGCACCGGCCAACUACGUGCCAGCAGCCGCGGUAAUACGUAGGGUGCGAGCGUUGUCCGGAAUUACUGGGCGUAAAGAGCUCGUAGGUGGUUUGUCGCGUUGUUCGUGAAAACUCACAGCUUAACUGUGGGCGUGCGGGCGAUACGGGCAGACUAGAGUACUGCAGGGGAGACUGGAAUUCCUGGUGUAGCGGUGGAAUGCGCAGAUAUCAGGAGGAACACCGGUGGCGAAGGCGGGUCUCUGGGCAGUAACUGACGCUGAGGAGCGAAAGCGUGGGGAGCGAACAGGAUUAGAUACCCUGGUAGUCCACGCCGUAAACGGUGGGUACUAGGUGUGGGUUCCUUCCUUGGGAUCCGUGCCGUANCUAACGCAUUAAGUACCCCGCCUGGGGAGUACGGCCGCAAGGCUAAAACUCAAAGGAAUUGACGGGGGCCCGCACAAGCGGCGGANCAUGUGNAUUAAUUCGAUGCAACGCGAAGAACCUUACCUGGGUUUGANAUGCACAGGACGCCGGCAGANAUGUCGGUUCCCUUGUGGCCUGUGUGCAGGUGGUGCAUGGCUGUCGUCAGCUCGUGUCNUGAGAUGUUGGGUUAAGUCCCGCAACGAGCGCAACCCUUGUCCUAUG